rnacentral:rRNA from 1 species
AUUGAACGCUGGCGGCAUGCUUUACACAUGCAAGUCGGACGGCAGCACAGAGAAGCUUGCUUCUUGGGUGGCGAGUGGCGAACGGGUGAGUAAUAUAUCGGAACGUACCGAGUAAUGGGGGAUAACUAAUCGAAAGAUUAGCUAAUACCGCAUAUUCUCUGAGGAGGAAAGCAGGGGACCUUCGGGCCUUGCGUUAUUCGAGCGGCCGAUAUCUGAUUAGCUAGUUGGUGGGGUAAAGGCCUACCAAGGCGACGAUCAGUAGCGGGUCUGAGAGGAUGAUCCGCCACACUGGGACUGAGACACGGCCCAGACUCCUACGGGAGGCAGCAGUGGGGAAUUUUGGACAAUGGGCGCAAGCCUGAUCCAGCCAUGCCACGUGUCUGAAGAAGGCCUUCGGGUUGUAAAGGACUUUUGUCAGGGAAGAAAAGGCUGUUGCUAAUAUCAAUAGCUGAUGACGGUACCUGAAGAAUAAGCACCGGCUAACUACGUG